GGGCUGGGUUGCUGACUUGGAGCUCUGCUGCGGUGAGCUUUGAGCUAGCGACUCUCUGAGCUCUCUGGCUGUGUAUGUGACUAUAGGCUGCUGUGGUGCAGACCAUAGCCUAUCCACGUUAGCUUCCCUCCACCACUUCCACAACUCAGUCAGCUGGCAGCUGCAGUAAGGCUCCACAGUGUCUCUCUGUGUAGCUGAGGAUUUCCUGCCUCUGCAAGGAUUCUCACUUUUGGGCCAAAGCAGAGAGAAAGAGGGACAGAGAGGAAGAGGGGAGCAAAGAGGAAAGGAGGAGGAAGAGCGACAGUGGGCUGGCAGUGACCUUCGUGGUGUGGUGGCAAAGCAGAGACGGAUCCAUCAGGUGCAUUUUCCUUUUUUGAGGAGCAGUGACAUGGAUACCAGGUGUGGUGACAUCCAGCUCUCUGUGGGUGUGUGUGGGAUGUUGUGCCAGGGCUAA
rnacentral:lncRNA from 1 species